rnacentral:rRNA from 1 species
ACUGAACGCUGGCGGCAGGCCUAACACAUGCAAGUCGAGCGGAUGAAGGGAGCUUGCUCCUGGAUUCAGCGGCGGACGGGUGAGUAAUGCCUAGGAAUCUGCCUGGUAGUGGGGGAUAACGUCCGGAAACGGGCGCUAAUACCGCAUACGUCCUGAGGGAGAAAGUGGGGGAUCUUCGGACCUCACGCUAUCAGAUGAGCCUAGGUCGGAUUAGCUAGUUGGUGGGUAAAGGCCUACCAAGGCGACGAUCCGUAACUGGUCUGAGAGGAUGAUCAGUCACACUGGAACUGAGACACGGUCCAGACUCCUACGGGAGGCAGCAGUGGGGAAUAUUGGACAAUGGGCGAAAGCCUGAUCCAGCCAUGCCGCGUGUGUGAAGAAGGUCUUCGGAUUGUAAAGCACUUUAAGUUGGGAGGAAGGGCAGUAAGUUAAUACCUUGCUGUUUUGACGUUACCAACAGAAUAAGCACCGGCUAACUUCGUG